rnacentral:misc_RNA from 1 species
GAUGAAGAACGUAGCGAAAUUCGAUACGUAAUGUGAAUUGCAGAAUUCAGUGAAUCAUCGAAUCUUUGAACGCAUAUUGCGCUCUUUGGUAUUCCGAAGAGCAUGCUUGUUUGAGUAUCAGUAAACACCUCAAAGCUUUUGGAUUUUUUAAUCGAAAAGCUUUGGACUUGAGCAAUCCCAACACCAAUCUUUUUGAGAUCGGUGGCGGGUUGCUUGAAAUGCAGGUGCAGCUGGACAUUCUCCUGAGCUAAAAGCAUAUUCAUUUAGUCCCGUCAAACGGAUUAUUACUUUUGCUGCAGCUAACAUAAAGGGAGUUUGACCGUAUUGGCUGACUGAUGCAGGAUUUCACAAGGGUCGGCAACGAUUCUUGUUAAACUCGAUCUCAAAUCAAGUAAGACUACCCGCUGAACUUAAGCAUAUCAAUAAGCGGAGGA